rnacentral:rRNA from 1 species
CUUGCAGGGUACUCGAGUGGCGAACGGGUGAGUAACACGUGGGUGAUCUGCCCUGCACUUCGGGAUAAGCCUGGGAAACUGGGUCUAAUACCGGAUAGGAGCCAUUUUUAGUGUGAUGGUUGGAAAGUUUUUUCGGUGUAGGAUGAGCUCGCGGUCUACCAGCUUGUUGGUGGGGUAAUGGCCUACCAAGGCGGCGACGGGUAGCCGGCCUGAGAGGGUGGACGGCCACAUUGGGACUGAGAUACGGCCCAG